GACGAACGCUGGCGGCGUGCUUAACACAUGCAAGUCGAACGAAGUGGCGCACGGGUGAGUAACGCGUAAUCAACCUGCCCUUCAGAGGGGGACAACAGUUGGAAACGACUGCUAAUACCGCAUACUGAAGGAGGGGAUUGCGUCUGAUUAGCUAGUUGGUGGGGUAACGGCCCACCAAGGCGAUUAUCAGUAGGUGGUCUUAGAGGUGUAACGGCCACAUUGGGACUGGGACACGGCCCAGACCCCUACGGGAGGCAGCAGUGGGGAAUCUUCCGCAAUGGACGAAAGUCUGACGGAGCAACGCCGCGUGAGUGAUGACGGCCUUCGGGUUGUAAAGCGCUGUUAAUCGGGACGCGGUACCGGAAUAGAAAGCCACGGCUAACUACGUGCCAGCCGCCGCGGUAAUUC
rnacentral:rRNA from 1 species